rnacentral:lncRNA from 1 species
GUCAGCAGGCCGCACACGCGCCGGACCGGGUACCGCUGUGCCCGGCCUGGCCGCGGCCUAGUCCCGGCAGACGGGACUGACGAGGUCACCAAGCCCAGGCCGAGACGGCGCGGGUGUCAGGGACUUGGGAAUCCCCCUCCCCCAGUCCCGAUCCCGCUUUCCUUUGGGGUUUCACCUCAGAGGACCCGACAGCACUCUUGCAGUUUCCUCAUCCUCAAGAUGGACUGCACCUUCUGGCAUCUCAAGUGGUUCUUGUGAAGAUUAAAUGAAUCCAUCAGGCCGGGUGCGGUGGCUCACGCCUGUAAUCCCAGCACUUUGGGAGGCCGAGACGAGCGCAUCACCUGAGGUCAGGAGUUCCAGACCAGCCUGGCCAACAAGACCUCCCCACAGAGUUGACGCUCUGGAAAGAAAAGCCAGGCUUUUCUCUGAGGUUUUGCAUCUCCUUGGCCAAUGUGCUCAUGCCAGAGAAGAGCAGUGCAUGGCCAGUUUGAGGAGCACGGCCAUGUGACCUUGGACAGCCCCUGCCUCUCUCUAGGACUCACUCCCGGUCCCUAACCUCAGCUCUCUGAUCUGUACCACAAGGAGCUGCCACUAACACCUGUGUCAGAACUACUGUAAGGACCCUUUCCU